AUUGAACGCUGGCGGCAUGCCUUACACAUGCAAGUCGAACGGCAGCACGGGUGCUUGCCCCUGGUGGCGAGUGGCGAACGGGUGAGUAAUACAUCGGAACAUGUCCUGUAGUGGGGGAUAGCCCGGCGAAAGCCGGAUUAAUACCGCAUACGAUCUACGGAUGAAAGCGGGGGACCUUCGGGCCUCGCGCUAUAGGGUUGGCCGAUGGCUGAUUAGCUAGUUGGUGGGGUAAAGGCCUACCAAGGCGACGAUCAGUAGCUGGUCUGAGAGGACGACCGGCCACACUGGGACUGAGACACGGCCCAGACUCCUACGGGAGGCAGCAGUGGGGAAUUUUGGACAAUGGGCGAAAGCCUGAUCCAGCAAUGCCGCGUGUGUGAAGAAGGCCUUCGGGUUGUAAAGCACUUUUGUCCGGAAAGAAAUCCUUGGCCCUAAUACGGUCGGGGGAUGACGGUACCGGAAGAAUAAGCACCGGCUAACUACGU
rnacentral:rRNA from 1 species